AGAGAGGAGACGAACUCAACCUACUUAGCUAUAAUCCAAAAUGAAGCCACUGUUUCUUUUAGUUUGUGUUCUCUUAGCUUCCUCUUUCUUUAUUCCCAUUUCCGCCAUGCCUAUCCAGAACCAGCCCUUGGAUGGUGAACGCAAAGGAAAUGAAUGUGGUCGUGGAAUCAAAUGCAUACCAAAGCCAACGCCACGGCCUACUAAGUGUAAAAGAAACAAUCCUUACUGCAGGCCUCCCUGAAUGUGGUAAAAAAUAAAGCUAUGGGCCUAUGGACGAUAUGGAUAUGGGUGAAGUUAUGCUAGUAAUAAAUUAACAAAUAAAUAAAGUUUCCCCCCAUGCUUCAUGACCCAUGGCAAUUACCACAUCAUCAUCAAUGAAGUUCUUGUAAUGAUCGUAUCAUUACUUUCAUGACUACUAGUUUGUAUGUGUUAUGUUUAUGUUUAAUAAAUUAUGGAGUGUUUUUAUGUUGAAAAAUAUCAAGUACUACUUUGAUUGUGAUAGGUUUAUAUGUUUAUGUUUGAGGAAAUUAUUUCAAAAUGAAAAUCACAUAAACCAUGAUUUGUACUCCGUUUCAA